CGGUUGAUCCUGCCGGAGGUCACUGCUAUUGGGAUUCGACUAAGCCAUGCGAGUCGAGAGGGUUCGGCCCUCGGCUGACGGCUCAGUAACACGUGGAUAAUCUGCCCUUAGGUGGAGGAUAAUCUCGGGAAACUGAGGAUAAUACUCCAUAGAUCUAGGAUGCUGGAAUGCAUCUAGAUUGAAAGCUCCGGCGCCUAAGGAUGAGUCUGCGGACUAUCAGGUUGUAGUCAGGGUAAAGACCUGACUAGCCUACGACGGAUACGGGUUGUGAGAGCAAUAACCCGGAGACGAUAUCUGAGACACGAUAUCGGGCCCUACGGGGCGCAGCAGGCGCGAAAACUUCACACUGUGCGAAAGCGCGAUGAGGGAAUCCCAAGUGUUUGCUCGUAAGAGUAAACUGUUUCUUUGUUUAAAACGCAGAGAGAGUAAGGGCUGGGUAAGACGGGUGCCAGCCGCCGCGGUAAUACCUGCAGCUCGAGUGGUGAUCAUUAUUAUUGGGCCUAAAACGUCCGUAGCCGGUUUAGUAAAUGCCUGGGUAAAUCGUGUAGCUUAACUAUACGACUUCCGGGUAGACUGCUAAACUUGAGACCGGGAGAGGCUAGAGGUACUCCUGGGGUAGAGGUGAAAUUCUGUAAUCCUAGGGGGACCACCAGUGGCGAAGGCGUCUAGCUAGAACGGGUCUGACGGUGAGGGACGAAGCCCUGGGGCACAAACCGGAUUAGAUACCCGGGUAAUCCGGGGUGUAAACGCUGCUUGCUUGAUGUUAGUUGGGCUCCGAGCCCAACUAGUGUCGGAGAGAAGUUGUUAAGCAAGCUGCCUGGGAAGUACGGUCGCAAGGCUGAAACUUAAAGGAAUUGGCGGGGGAGCAC
rnacentral:rRNA from 1 species